CAGUAGCCGCGGUAAAACGUAGUGUGCAAGCGUUAAUCGGAAUUACUGGGCGUAAAGCGUGCGCAGGCGGUUUUGUAAGACAGAGGUGAAAUCCCCGGGCUCAACCUGGGAACUGCCUUUGUGACUGCAAGGCUAGAGUACGGCAGAGGGGGAUGGAAUUCCGCGUGUAGCAGUGAAAUGCGUAGAUAUGCGGAGGAACACCGAUGGCGAAGGCAAUCCCCUGGGCCUGUACUGACGCUCAUGCACGAAAGCGUGGGGAGCAAACAGGAUUAGAUACCCCCGUAGUCCCUGUCUCUUAUAC
rnacentral:rRNA from 1 species